rnacentral:lncRNA from 1 species
CUUGACGGUGAAAUCAACACCUUCCUUAUAAUCAGGUAUGCAUUUAAUUUACUCUUCUAAGAUAAUCUUAUAAUUCCCUUUCAAUAAGUUUGAGUUUCUAUGAGGUAUUUAAUCGACAAUUAUUUAAUUGAUAAUAUUAUUAAUAGCUUUGUAAUCUAAAAGCAUUAAACAUUUUUUUCCUUGAUCGUUGAUAAAAAUAAAUUUUAAAUUUACCUUGUUAAAUUCAAUAAUAUUUUACGAUCUAAGUUUUUGCAAGUCCUUUAUAUCGAUAAAGUUCACGGGCCUUUAGUUAUGGGCCUUUAGUUUUUUUUUCAGUUAUUUAAUUGUUAUAAUUAAUAAAAUAUAUAACUAAUAUGUUAUUUGGAUAAUCACGGUUCUUUAUUAUUUUAAAUAGGUGACUUAUCAUUUUAAAUAUCAUUGAAAGUUUUACCGAUUCAAAGUUCAAACAUAGAGAUGUUCGAUUGAAUCUUGAAAAACUAUGGGUGGACUAAUUAAGUUAAAAUCUUUAAACAAGCCUAAGUUAAUACUUUCAUAGUUUGGAUAUGAUGAAAUAAUUAUGUGAUGUUUUCUUUAUAUAGAAAAUAGUGUUUUACUCGUCGCUAUUUAUUUUGAUUCUUACAGACCUUAUUCUCUGGUCUUAUAAUUUAUUAGCAGAAUACAAAAUCGGGAUUUAUGAAUAUAUAUAUAAAUCUUGUAGAUUUUGUGUUAUAAUUUAUAUUAUCAUUCUUGUAUGCAAAAACGAUAAUUGCUUUGCGAAUGAAUUCUGAGAUAAAUUUUAUAUUGCUUGAUGACUGAUAGUUUUAUUGGUUGA